UACGGAGGGUGCAAGCGUUAUCCGGAUUCACUGGGUUUAAAGGGUGCGUAGGAGGGCAGGUAAGUCAGUGGUGAAAUCCCCAAGCUUAACUUGGGAACUGCCGUUGAUACUAUCUGUCUUGAAUACCGUGGAGAUGAGCGGAAUAUGUCAUGUAGCGGUGAAAUGCUUAGAUAUGACAUAGAACACCAAUUGCGAAGGCAGCUCGUUACACGAAUAUUGACUCUGAGGCACGAAAGCGUGGGGAGCGAACAGG
rnacentral:rRNA from 1 species